GCCCUGGGUAAGUCGGGACCUAAGGCGAGGCCGACAGGCGUAGUCGAUGGACAACGGGUUGAUAUUCCCGUACCGGCAAAGUAGCGCCCAUGACGAACCUGGUGAUGCUAACCAUCCGAAACCUCACUUAUCGGACCCUUCGGGGCGAGAGGGUGUGGCAGAGCGUGGGAUCCGAUCCGGUAGUAGUCAAGCGAUGGGGUGACGCAGGAAGGUAGCCCAACCGUGGCGAUGGUUGUCCACGGGUAAGCAGGUAGGGUGUGUCCUAGGCAAAUCCGGGGCACUGUCUUUGAUGACGGACCUGAGACGUGACGCCGACCCCGUAUGGGGGAAGUGGGUAAUCCUAUGCUGUCGAGAAAAACCUCUAGCGAGCUAUACGCCGCCCGUACCCCAAACCGACUCAGGUGAUCAGGUAGAGAAUACUAAGGCGAUCGAGCGAACCAUGGUUAAGGAACUCGGCAAAAUGCCCCCGUAACUUCGGGAGAAGGGGGGCCCGAACCGUCAUGGCCUUUACGGCCGGCAGCGGGGAGGGCCGCAGAGACCAGGCCCAAGCGACUGUUUACUAAAAACACAGGUCCGUGCGAAGUUGUAAGACGAUGUAUACGGACUGACUCCUGCCCGGUGCUGGAAGGUUAAGGGGACCGGUUAGCCCACUUGUGGGUGAAGCUGAGAACUUAAGCCCCAGUAAACGGCGGUGGUAACUAUAACCAUCCUAAGGUAGCGAAAUUCCUUGUCGGGUAAGUUCCGACCUGCACGAAUGGAGUAACGACUUGGGCGCUGUCUCAACCGUGGACUCGGCGAAAUUGCACUACGAGUAAAGAUGCUCGUUACGCGCAGAAGGACGGAAAGACCCCGUGACCUUUACUAUAGCUUUGUAUUGGUGUUCGGUGUGGCUUGUGUAGGAUAGGUGGGAGACUGUGAAGCUUGGACGCUAGUUCAGGUGGAGUCAUUGUUGAAAUACCACUCUGGUCACUCUGGAUAUCUAACUUCGCACCGUAAUCCGGUGCAAGGACAGUGCAUGGUGGGUAGUUUAACUGGGGCGGUUGCCUCCCAAAAAGUA
rnacentral:rRNA from 1 species